GACGAACGCUGGCGGCGUGCCUAAUACAUGCAAGUUGAGCGCUGAAGGUUGGUACUUGUACCAACUGGAUGAGCAGCGAACGGGUGAGUAACGCGUGGGGAAUCUGCCUUUGAGCGGGGGACAACAUUUGGAAACGAAUGCUAAUACCGCAUAAAAACUUUAAACACAAGUUUUAAGUUUGAAAGAUGCAAUUGCAUCACUCAAAGAUGAUCCCGCGUUGUAUUAGCUAGGUGGUGAGGUAAAGGCUCACCAAGGCGAUGAUACAUAGCCGACCUGAGAGGGUGAUCGGCCACUUUGGGACUGAGACACGGCCCAAACUCCUACGGGAGGCAGCUGUAGGGAAUCUUCGGCAAUUGACGAAAGUCUGACCGAGCAACGCCGCGUGAGUGAAGAAGGUUUUCGGAUCGUAAAACUCUGUUGGUAGAGAAGAACGUUGGUGAGAGUGGAAAGCUCAUCAAGUGACGGUAACUACCCAGAAAGGGACGGCUAACUACGUG
rnacentral:rRNA from 1 species